AGAAACGCGGGGACCAAUUAUUUCAUUCCCCCACUUAGUAUUUUUUCCCUCUUUGUCUGAAACUUUCGGAACCCUAAUAACUCUCACAUUCUGAAAUCUCUCGAACCUUGUCAACCUCGUUCUCUCUCCAACCUGACCUGCCCCAAUUCCCCGACCUCCUUCUCCAACCUGGCCUGAGCUCGUUGUCCGAUCCGAGCUGCUCGAGCUCCUUCUCCGACCCGAGCCGCUCGAGCUUGUUCUCCGAUCUGACCUCGAGCUCCUUCUCCGACUCGAGCCACCUCGAGCUUGUUCUCCGAUCUGACCUCGAGCUCCUUCUCCGACCUUCCCUCGAGUUCAUUCUCCGACAUGAGCUCGUCAAUCUCUGACCUGAGCCGGCUCGAGCUUGUUCUCCGACCGCCAACGUAGGGAAGAAUAAAAAGAAAGACUGAGAAGAGAACAGGGAAAGAAGAGAAAGAAGAAAGAAGAAGGAGAUUAGAAGCUCUCUGGGUUUUCUUUGAUCGGUUGGUAUUUGUGGGAAUCUGAUGUGGCUUUUGUCUCAAUUUUUCUGAUUGAAAUUCUUUCUGGGAUUUCUUAUGUAUAGUUAAUUCAGGGUCCUGUAUUUGUCUUGAGCUGACCAAUGGAAGAUUCGUAUUCAGUUGACCAAGCCUGUUACUUAGCCUCCAUUGGUAUGGGGAGUUUGGGGUGCUGCUGCCUCUGCAAACACUAUGUUUCAACCUCAGAUGGAAAAGGGUGAUGGUGCUAGUAAUUCUUUGGGGGCUUUUCUACUUCUUCAAAUAUUCAAGGC